UCAGGUGGGACUACCCGCUGAACUUAAGCAUAUCAAUAAGCGGAGGAAAAGAAACUAACAAGGAUUCCCCUAGUAACGGCGAGUGAAGCGGGAUGAGCUCAAAUUUAAAAUCUGGCAGUCUAAGAUUGUCCGAGUUGUAGUCUAGAGAAGCGUUUUCCGCGUAGGCCUGUGUACAAGUCCCUUGGAAUAGGGCGUCAUAGAGGGUGAGAAUCCCGUCCUUGACACAGAUCAUCUAUGCUCUGCGAUGCGCUCUCGAAGAGUCGAGUUGUUUGGGAAUGCAGCUCAAAAUGGGUGGUAAAUUCCAUCUAAAGCUAAAUAUUGGCGA
rnacentral:rRNA from 1 species